GAACGCUGGCGGCGUGCCUAAUACAUGCAAGUCGAACGGCUUUUCUAUGGAAGCUUGCUUCCACUGAGAAGAUAGUGGCGAACGGGUGAGUAACACGUGGGUAACCUGCCCAUAAGAGGGGGGAUAACAUCCGGAAACGGGUGCUAAUACCGCAUAGUUUUCUUGAUCGCAUGAUCGGGAAAGGAAAGACGGCCUUUGUGCUGUCGCUUAUGGAUGGACCCGCGGCGUAUUAGUUAGUUGGUGAGGUAACGGCUCACCAAGACGAUGAUACGUAGCCGACCUGAGAGGGUGAUCGGCCACAUUGGGACUGAGACACGGCCCAAACUCCUACGGGAGGCAGCAGUAGGGAAUCUUCCGCAAUGGACGAAAGUCUGACGGAGCAACGCCGCGUGAGUGAAGAAGGUUUUUCCGGAUCGUAAAACUCUGUUGUCAGAGAAGAACAAGUUGGAGAGUAACUGCUCCAGCCUUGACGGUAUCUGACCAGAAAGCCACGGCUAACUACGUGCCAGCAGCCGC
rnacentral:rRNA from 1 species